rnacentral:rRNA from 1 species
CUUUUGUGGGGUGCUCGAGUGGCGAACGGGUGAGUAACACGUGAGUAACCUGCCCUUGACUUUGGGAUAACUUCAGGAAACUGGGGCUAAUACCGGAUAGGAGCUCCUGCUGCAUGGUGGGGGUUGGAAAGUUUCGGCGGUUGGGGAUGGACUCGCGGCUUAUCAGCUUGUUGGUGGGGUAGUGGCUUACAAAGGCUUUGACGGGUAGCCGGCCUGAGAGGGUGACCGGCCACAUUGGGACUGAGAUACGGCCCAG